GGGCGGGACACGUGGUAUCCUGUCUGAAUAUGGGGGGACCAUCCUCCAAGGCUAAAUACUCCUGACUGACCGAUAGUGAACCAGUACCGUGAGGGAAAGGCGAAAAGAACCCCGGCGAGGGGAGUGAAAAAGAACCUGAAACCGUGUACGUACAAGCAGUGGGAGCCUCUUAAUGGGGUGACUGCGUACCUUUUGUAUAAUGGGUCAGCGACUUAUAUUCUGUAGCAAGGUUAACCGAAUAGGGGAGCCGAAGGGAAACCGAGUCUUAACUGGGCGUUAAGUUGCAGGGUAUAGACCCGAAACCCGGUGAUCUAGCCAUGGGCAGGUUGAAGGUUGGGUAACACUAACUGGAGGACCGAACCGACUAAUGUUGAAAAAUUAGCGGAUGACUUGUGGCUGGGGGUGAAAGGCCAAUCAAACCGGGAGAUAGCUGGUUCUCCCCGAAAGCUAUUUAGGUAGCGCCUCGUGAAUUCAUCUCCGGGGGUAGAGCACUGUUUCGGCAAGGGGGUCAUCCCGACUUACCAACCCGAUGCAAACUGCGAAUACCGGAGAAUGUUAUCACGGGAGACACACGGCGGGUGCUAACGUCCGUCGUGAAGAGGGAAACAACCCAGACCGCCAGCUAAGGUCCCAAAGUCAUGGUUAAGUGGGAAACGAUGUGGGAAGGCCCAGACAGCCAGGAUGUUGGCUUAGAAGCAGCCAUCAUUUAAAGAAAGCGUAAUAGCUCACUGGUCGAGUCGGCCUGCGCGGAAGAUGUAACGGGGCUAAACCAUGCACCGAAGCUGCGGCAGCGACACUAUGUGUUGUUGGGUAGGGGAGCGUUCUGUAAGCCUGUGAAGGUGUACUGUGAGGUAUGCUGGAGGUAUCAGAAGUGCGAAUGCUGACAUAAGUAACGAUAAAGCGGGUGAAAAGCCCGCUCGCCGGAAGACCAAGGGUUCCUGUCCAACGUUAAUCGGGGCAGGGUGAGUCGACCCCUAAGGCGAGGCCGAAAGGCGUAGUCGAUGGGAAACAGGUUAAUAUUCCUGUACUUGGUGUUACUGCGAAGGGGGGACGGAGAAGGCUAUGUUGGCCGGGCGACGGUUGUCCCGGUUUAAGCGUGUAGGCUGGUUUUCCAGGCAAAUCCGGAAAAUCAAGGCUGAGGCGUGAUGACGAGGCACUACGGUGCUGAAGCGACAAAUGCCCUGCUUCCAGGAAAAGCCUCUAAGCAUCAGGUAACAUCAAAUCGUACCCCAAACCGACACAGGUGGUCAGGUAGAGAAUACCAAGGCGCUUGAGAGAACUCGGGUGAAGGAACUAGGCAAAAUGGUGCCGUAACUUCGGGAGAAGGCACGCUGAUAUGUAGGUGAAGCGACUUGCUCGUGGAGCUGAAAUCAGUCGAAGAUACCAGCUGGCUGCAACUGUUUAUUAAAAACACAGCACUGUGCAAACACGAAAGUGGACGUAUACGGUGUGACGCCUGCCCGGUGCCGGAAGGUUAAUUGAUGGGGUUAGCGGUAACGCGAAGCUCUUGAUCGAAGCCCCGGUAAACGGCGGCCGUAACUAUAACGGUCCUAAGGUAGCGAAAUUCCUUGUCGGGUAAGUUCCGACCUGCACGAAUGGCGUAAUGAUGGCCAGGCUGUCUCCACCCGAGACUCAGUGAAAUUGAACUCGCUGUGAAGAUGCAGUGUACCCGCGGCAAGACGGAAAGACCCCGUGAACCUUUAC
rnacentral:rRNA from 1 species